GACAGAGGGUGCAAACGUUGUUCGGAUUUACUGGGCGUAAAGCGUGUGUAGGCGGCUUUGUAUGUCGGAUGUGAAAGCCCACGGGCUCAACCGUGGAAGUGCAUCCGAAACUGCAUAGCUUGAGUCCCGGAGAGGAAGGUGGAAUGCUUGGUGUAGAGGUGAAAUUCGUAGAUAUCAAGCAGAACACCUGCGGCGAAGGCGGACCUUCUGGCGGUGACGUGACGCUGAGACACGAAAGC
rnacentral:rRNA from 1 species